GGUCUUGAAUUGCGCGCGCCACGCCUCUAUCUAUGGGAUGUCCUUCGGGACUAUGGAUAUAAACGCGCUCGUAAUAAGCGGUUCGGACCCGGGGGCGGUACCCGGCGACUCCACCAAUAAUCCGUCAUUUGCGGAUCAUGGGGUCGAAACAGGAUCGACGAACGUCUAAAGGGGUUAUGCUUUAUCUCGGCUGUCUGCCACCGUUAUCGGCGAAAACUGUACAAUUGCAAAUGACAAUCGUGCUCCAAUGGCGAUGGCCGCGUAAGCGACCGGAACUAUUGAAACCUAAGUCCUUACGUUUAGCGACCUAAGGCGGGGCCCGCCGGAGCCUGGCAACAGAAUCCGGCACC
rnacentral:tmRNA from 1 species